rnacentral:rRNA from 1 species
UAGAGUUUGAUCAUGGCUCAGAUUGAACGCUGGCGGCAGGCCUAACACAUGCAAGGUCGAACGGUUAGCACAGAAAGAGCUUGCUCUUUGGGUGACGAGUGGCGGACGGGUGAGAUAAUGUCUGGGGAUCUGCCCGGCAGAGGGGGAUAACUACUGGAAACGGUAGCUAAUACCGCAUAACCUCGCAAGAGCAAAGAGGGGGACCUUCGGGCCUCUCGCUGUCGGAUGAACCCAGAUGGGAUUAGCUAGUAGGUGAGGUAACGGCUCACCCAGGCGACGAUCCCUAGCUGGUCUGAGAGGAUGACCAGCCACACUGGAACUGAGACACGGUCCAGUCUCCUACGGGAGGCAGCAGUGGGGAAUAUUGCACAAUGGGCGCAAGCCUGAUGCAGCCAUGCCGCGUGUAUGAAGAAGGCCUUCGGGUUGUAAAGUACUUUCAGCGGGGAGGAAGGGUUGUGGGCGAAUACCCCGCGACAUUGACGUUACCCGCAGAAGAAGCACCGGCUAACUCCGUGCCAGCAGCCGCGGUAAUACGGAGGGUGCGAGCGUUAAUCGGAAUUACUGGGCGUAAAGCGCACGCAGGCGGUCUGUCAAGUCAGAUGUGAAAUCCCCGGGCUUAACCUGGGAACUGCAUUUGAAACUGGCAGGCUGGAGUCUUGUAGAGGGGGGUAGAAUUCCAGGUGUAGCGGUGAAAUGCAGUAGAGAUCUGGAGGAAUACCGGUGGCGAAGGCGGCCCCCUGGACAAAGACUGACGCUCAGGUGCGAAAGCGUGGGGAGCAAACAGGAUUAGAUACCCUGGUAGUCCACGCUGUAAACGAUGUCGACUUGGAGGUUGUGCCCUUGAGGCGUGGCUUCCGGAGCUAACGCGUU